rnacentral:rRNA from 1 species
GAUGAACGCUAGCGGCAGGCCUAACACAUGCAAGUCGAGGGGUAGGGUUAGCUUGCUAACUUGAGACCGGCGCACGGGUGCGUAACGCGUAUGCAAUCUACCUUGUACGGGGGGAUAGCCCAGAGAAAUUUGGAUUAAUACCCCAUGGUGUUAUGAUGUGGCAUCACAUUAUAACUAAAGUUCCAACGGUACAAGAUGAGCAUGCGUCCCAUUAGCUAGUUGGUGUGGGAACGGCAUACCAAGGCAAUGAUGGGUAGGGGUCCUGAGAGGGGGGUCCCACACACUGGUACCGAGACACGGACCAGACUCCGCCGGGAGGCAGCAGUGAGGAAUAUUGGUCAAUGGGCGCAAGCCUGAACCAGCCAUGCCGCGUGCAGGAUGACGGUCCUAUGGAUUGUAAACUGCUUUUAUACGGGAAGAAACACUCCUACGUGUAGGAACUUGACGGUACCGUAAGAAUAAGGAUCGGCUAACUCCGUGCCAGCAGCCGCAGUAA